UAGAUGGAAGCUUGAUUGGCUGAGGCGCUUAGCUGUUAACUAAGAGUAUGAAGGAUCGAAGCCUUCUCAUCUAG
rnacentral:tRNA from 1 species